rnacentral:misc_RNA from 1 species
AGUCAUCAACCCCUCCCGUUUUUGUGCGGAGAGGAAGGUUGGAUCUGGGGGCCUGCCGCCGUCCAGGCGGCUCCCCUCAAAUGUGUCGGUUGGGCCUGCGGGUCGAACUCGGGUCGGGCGUUGUACCAUCCUCGCUUUGGUCCCGAGACCGCUCUCGCUUUGUCGAGCCCUUCCCAGACCGCCUUUUGAGUGGUGGUCAAGUCAAACUUUGAA